UAUGCUUUAGUAUAUGAUGUAUAAAAAUUUUUGAUAUUUUAGGGAAUAGUUUGAUCUAUUAAGCAUAU
rnacentral:tRNA from 1 species